UGCAAUCCAGUUUGCAAACUAUGGGCUCGGAUUUGGUACGGUACUAGUCUAUCCCCCUCUCUCCUGUGUGUUUAUCGCUUGGAUGUGGUUGGUUGUAGAAGUAGGGGAGAUGACAGUGUUGAUUGAUAUUAUAUGUAAAUACUCUGGGCUUCUAAAUCUGGUGGUGAUUUGAGAUAGAAGAGAUGGAUAGGGAUUAUGGUUGAAUGUUGUGAGCUUCUCUCUCUGCUAUAUGUUCCUAAUUGCUUAGUGAUGUAUGUUUGGUGAUACAAAGUUGAUGACUGUUGCUUAGUGUUUUCCUACCGCAAUUUGUUUGCGAUAUUGACCCUGUAAGAAAACGUAGUAAUGGAGGUAGUAGUAUGUGGAAUUGUAGUAUGGAGGUAGUAGCCUCUGUAUGGCAAAGCGGUGCAGAAAAUAUUGCAGUAAGUCAAGGAUCCAACUGAAAUGUGGAGGGAAACACUUCUUAUGCAGCAGCUUAUUAUGAAUAUAUGGGACUGCUGGUUUGUCUAGAUCUAAUUUCAGAGAGCGUAGUUCAAAUUGCAAUGUGGAAGAAGACAUGAUUAUGCAGCAUAUAUGUUGGAGUAAUGCUAUAAGAGUUAAGGGGCGAGUACAGCUUCUAGGAGUGAUCAUCAAUUGCUUUGGUUCUGGAAUUAUUUGGGAAAUGUUGCAGGGCAGAGAGAAAGGAUUUCUUCUUUCGCACUUCAGAGAAGUACUUCUCACUUCUUGGUUGAGGGAGGGU